AGCAAAGCCUGGGAUGUCAAACCCAUGACACUGAUGUGGAGUCAGCAUGAGUGAGAGUAGAAUCAAACCCCUUCUAUUCUGUGUAGAUAAGACCUAUGUAGGGAUGAGACAUGGAAUUCUUCUGGAUUCUGAAUGCUCCUGUUUCCUGCUAUGAUACUGGCAGUUUCCAUCAGUACUGACACAAAUUUUGCUUCAUCUGGGAGUUUUACACCUGAAAGUUGGCCUCCAAAGGAAGACCAAAAUCUCCACUCAGGUGUCUGAUCUAAACCCAAAGAACAACAGCAGCAGCACCAGUGGGGAUGGGAUGAGCUCAGCCUCAUGAAUUGUACCUUGAGCUACAACAAACUGCACUCUCU